AUAAAGAUCAGAAUGACACAGGAAGAAGCAAGUGAGGGAAAGACGGGAGGAAGGCGUGCUGCCCUCUUUGACCACUCCCAGCAGCGCCGACCUCCAACUCUAAGACCAGCAUCAACUCCUCCUAUCACAGCCAGCACGGGCCACACCUCUAUGCAAAGAGUCCUCAGCUGCAGCUCUGAGAGGUCAGCGAGGCCAUGCCUAGAAGUCCAACGGUCUGUUCGGUGAAGGAUACGGAUGAGCUGAAUAGUGGCCUCAGCCAGCACUGCUGCUACUGGACUACAAAUAGGGUCUCCUGGAAGUAUGGAUGAGACUGCUGGAAAAGCCAAGGAUCAAACUCUGUGGAACACCAACAUUUUGAGAUGAAGGCAAGGUAAAAGUGGCACCAAAAAAGAGUUGCUUUCAAAGG
rnacentral:lncRNA from 1 species